rnacentral:rRNA from 1 species
AUUGAACGCUGGCGGCAGGCCUAACACAUGCAAGUCGAGCGAGCGGCGGACGGGUGAGUAAUGUCUGGGAAACUGCCUGAUGGAGGGGGAUAACUACUGGAAACGGUAGCUAAUAACGCAUACCAUACGAUGUGCCCAGAUGGGAAUAGCUAGUAGGUGGGGUAACGGCUCACCUAGGCGACGAUCCCUAGCUGGUCUGAGAGGAUGUGCAGCCACACGUGAACUGAGACACGGUCCAGACGCCUACGGGAGGCAACAGUGGGGAAUAUUGCACAAUGGGCGCAAGCCUGAUGCAGCCAUGCCGCGUGUGGGAAGAAGGCCUUCGGGUUGUAAAGCACUUUCAGCGGGGAGGCGUUACCCGCAGAAGAAGCACCGGCUAACUCCGUGCCAGCCGCCGCGGUAAUAC